rfam:Gossypium raimondii Chr06_contig_862, whole genome shotgun sequence.
UGUUAAAAAUUUUAUCCAAUUUUACUGUAAAAAACUGACAUAGCUAACAGAAAAACCAACAAGUUAAACGUGGCAUGUCAUGUGUACCUUACUCUUAACAUACAGGGACUAGUUUUUAACAAUAGAAAUAGAUUCAACUUUUACCA